rfam:Euroglyphus maynei isolate Arlian Lab scaffold68001, whole genome shotgun sequence.
AUAGAUAUGGUGACAUGGUACCGGCAACAAUAACCGGUAAAAUUGUUGGCGGAGUUUGUUCAUUAAGCGGUGUAUUGGUCAUUGCCUUACCAGUACCCGUAAUCGUAUCAAAU